rnacentral:misc_RNA from 1 species
AACGCACAUUGCGCCCCUUGGUAUUCCAUGGGGCAUGCCUGUUCGAGCGUCAUUUGUACCUUCAAGCUUUGCUUGGUGUUGGGUGUUUGUCUCGCCUUUGCGUGUAGACUCGCCUCAAAACAAUUGGCAGCCGGCGUAUUGAUUUCGGAGCGCAGUACAUCUCGCGCUUUGCACUCAUAACGACGACGUCCAAAAGUACAUUUUUACACUCUUGACCUCGGAUCAGGUAGGGAUACCCGCUGAACUUAA